rfam:Pseudoflavonifractor capillosus ATCC 29799 B_capillosus-2.0.1_Cont29, whole genome shotgun sequence.
GCGCGACAAAGGCAAACCGGCCGAAAGACCGGGACGCAAAGCCAGGAGGCUAAAGCGGACACAGUGUCCGCCAUGCCGGUCCGGCCGCCGCA